rnacentral:lncRNA from 1 species
ACCAACCAUUUUUUUCAUCUGAUUUUGAUUAAUGAAUCUGGUAAACAUACAAGAUUGAAAUCCUAGAGCCGGUGGACACACCUUACAAUAUCCGGAAACAUAGCCCACAAGAGAGAAACCCAAACCUAAACAACGGGUGACACAUACAAACAACUACACAAUCACUAAAAGUGUCUACACUUCUCCAACCAAAUCCGUAUAAAAACCCUGACAAGAGAUAUCAAUAUUCAUCUAGUCGGAACUCUCGCCGAAACUACACAAGAGAAACCACACAAGACACAGGAAGCGAUGCACUGGCCGUAACAACAAAAAAAGACUAGACUUACCUAAAUCUCCAGUUCACGGUAACAAGCCAAAACCCAUAAAAAUAACAUCAGACAUUGAACAGAGAAGAACAACACCCAGGACCACACCCCUUUCUCAAAUGAACCUUCAUCGGAAUGCCGUAAACUUUCAACCUCUAUAUUUCAACAAGCAGAGGCGACCGAGGAACAUGAGAGAGAAUGCCGAAAACUUUCAACCUCUAUAUUUCAACAAGCAGAGGCGACCGAGGAACAUGAGAGCAGAAGACAAACCAGAAACCACACUUAUUCAAAGGCAGCGAGAAAGACUCCUUCCAAGAGCGUGACAAGCAACCUGAAACUUCUCAAAGAUGUUAGACAUGUUCUGCUCACCACACAACAUCACGACACACCAUCACAGAUCCCUUACACCGUUGCUAGACAAAGAUAAUAGAGGACAAACACUAAAACCCAACCAAAGACGCCUCAGAUUCAGCUUCUCUGAAGCCAUCAACACAUUUGACUAAAGCGAGUGAAGGAUAAAGAGCGAAGAGAUCCCAAAACACGGAGUGAUUUGAUGGAUUAGGUCACGGGAAUACGAGAUCUGAACAUAAACUAAGUAAAAAAAAUCAGAGAAGAAGACGAGUUCAGGUGAACUACUCCGUAGAUCCACCAGACCCGACAUCUUCUUCAUCUCAAUAAAACAGAUCUGGUAGAUAUGACCGGGGAACUCACUGGAAAACCUCUUCCACCGCAACUACUCAACUACCCAAACGAAACCUCAGCCAAACACCAAGAAAAAAACGAUAAAAUCAAGCUAACAGAAGGACAAUGACCGACGUCGUGGUUGUGUGAGCCACGCACACCGGCCUUAACCAAAUCAGAAGAGAAAAACUGAGUUUUAGAGAGAUGAUAGAGCUUUUUCUCUCUAACGACCUUCUAGUUUGGUUGAUUGCCACAACCAACCAUUCAGCUUUCUGUUUUUCCAUAUAUUUAAUUAUAGUAUAAUAUACACAGAUAUAUACACAG